rnacentral:rRNA from 1 species
GACGAACGCUGGCGGCGUGCUUAACACAUGCAAGUCGAACGGAAACCGCUCUUCGGAGUGACUCGAGUGGUGAACGGGUGAGUAACAACUGGGUGAUCUGCCCUGCACUUUGGGAUAAGCCUGGGAAACUGGGUCUAAUACCGAAUACGCCUCUCGGAUCUUAGGGUUCUUGGGGGAAAGCUUUUGCGGUGUGGGAUGGGCCCGCGGCCUAUCAGCUUGUUGGCGGGGUGAUGGCCUACCAACGCGACGAUGGGCAGCCGGCAUGACAGGGUGUCUGGCCACUCUGAGACUGACAUACCGCCCACACUCCUACGGGAUGCAGCAUUGGGGAAUAUUGCACAAUGGGCGAAAGCCUGAUGCCGCGACGCCGAGUGAGGGAUGACGGCCUUCGGGUUGUAAUCCCCUUUACGAAUCGACUAAUUUCUAAUGAUGGUCGAUGCCGAAUAAGGACCGGCCAACUACCUGCCAGCAGCCGCGGUAAUACGUACGGUGCGAGCGUUGUCCGGAAUUACUGGGCGUAAAGAGCUCGGCGGUGGUUUGUCUCGUUGUUCGUGAAAACUCACACCUGAGCUGUGCGCGUGCUCUGCGAUACGGAACAUACUGGGCUUACUGCACUGCGAGACUGGAAUUCAAUGGUGUAGCGGUGCGAAUGCACUACAUAUCAGGACGAACACAAGUGGCGAAGGCAGGUCUCUCUGCUGUAACUGACCCUACAGGAGACGACAGCAUGGCGUAGCGAACCAGACUAGAUACCCUGGUAGUCCACCGCAGUAAACGAUGAUAACUAGCUGUCUGGGCACUUGGUGCUUAGGUGGCGCAGCUAACGCAUUAAGUUAUCCGCCUGGGAGAGUACGGCCGCAAGGUUAAAACUCAAAGAAAUUGACGGGGGGCCUGCACAAGCGGUGGAGCAUGUGGUUUAAUUGGAAGCAACGCGCAGAACCUUACCAACGUUUGACAUGUCCAGUAUGGUUAGUGGAGACACUUUCCUUCAGUUCGGCUGGCUGGAACACAGGUGCUGCAUGGCUGUCGUCAGCUCGUGUCGUGAGAUGUUGGGUUAAGUCCCGCAACGAGCGCAACCCUCGCCUUUAGUUGCCAUCAUUUAGUUGGGCACUAUAAAGGAACCCCCGGUGAUAAGCCGGAGGAAGGUGGGGAUGACGUCAAGUCCUCAGGCCCCUUAUCCGUUGGGCUACACACGUGCUACAAUGGCGGUGACAGUGGGCGGCAAGCGGGCGACCGAGAGAUUAUCUCCAAAAGCCGUUUCAGUUGGGAUUUGAUUUUGCAAUUGGAGUCCAGGAAGGGGGAAUCGUUGGUAAUCGCGGAUCAGCAUGCCGCGGUGAAUACGUUCCCAGGCCUUGUACUCACC